GAUGAACGCUGGCGGCGUGCCUAAUACAUGCAAGUCGAGCGAACGGACGAGAAGCUUGCUUCUCUGAUGUUAGCGGCGGACGGGUGAGUAACACGUGGAUAACCUACCUAUAAGACUGGGAUAACUUCGGGAAACCGGAGCUAAUACCGGAUAAUAUUUUGAACCGCAUGGUUCAAAAGUGAAAGACGGUCUUGCUGUCACUUAUAGAUGGAUCCGCGCUGCAUUAGCUAGUUGGUAAGGUAACGGCUUACCAAGGCAACGAUGCAUAGCCGACCUGAGAGGGUGAUCGGCCACACUGGAACUGAGACACGGUCCAGACUCCUACGGGAGGCAGCAGUAGGGAAUCUUCUGCAAUGGGCGAAAGCCUGACGGAGCAACGCCGCGUGAGUGAUGAAGGUCUUCGGAUCGUAAAACUCUGUUAUUAGGGAAGAACAUAUGUGUAAGUAACUGUGCACAUCUUGACGGUACCUAAUCAGAAAGCCACGGCUAACUACGUGCCAGCAGCCGCGGUAAUACGUAGGUGGCAAGCGUUAUCCGGAAUUAUUGGGCGUAAAGCGCGCGUAGGCGGGUUUUUAAGUCUGAUGUGAAAGCCCACGGCUCAACCGUGGAGGGUCAUUGGAAACUGGAAAACUUGAGUGCAGAAGAGGAAAGUGGAAUUCCAUGUGUAGCGGUGAAAUGCGCAGAGAUAUGGAGGAACACCAGUGGCGAAGGCGACUUUCUGGUCUGUAACUGACGCUGAUGUGCGAAAGCGUGGGGAUCAAACAGGAUUAGAUACCCUGGUAGUCCACGCCGUAAACGAUGAGUGCUAAGUGUUAGGGGGUUUCCGCCCCUUAGUGCUGCAGCUAACGCAUUAAGCACUCCGCCUGGGGAGUACGACCGCAAGGUUGAAACUCAAAGGAAUUGACGGGGACCCGCACAAGCGGUGGAGCAUGUGGUUUAAUUCGAAGCAACGCGAAGAACCUUACCAAAUCUUGACAUCCUUUGACAACUCUAGAGAUAGAGCUUUCCCCUUCGGGGGACAAAGUGACAGGUGGUGCAUGGUUGUCGUCAGCUCGUGUCGUGAGAUGUUGGGUUAAGUCCCGCAACGAGCGCAACCCUUAAGCUUAGUUGCCAUCAUUAAGUUGGGCACUCUAAGUUGACUGCCGGUGACAAACCGGAGGAAGGUGGGGAUGACGUCAAAUCAUCAUGCCCCUUAUGAUUUGGGCUACACACGUGCUACAAUGGACAAUACAAAGGGCAGCGAAACCGCGAGGUCAAGCAAAUCCCAUAAAGUUGUUCUCAGUUCGGAUUGUAGUCUGCAACUCGACUACAUGAAGCUGGAAUCGCUAGUAAUCGUAGAUCAGCAUGCUACGGUGAAUACGUUCCCGGGUCU
rnacentral:rRNA from 1 species